GACAACCUAGUUUUGAUGAAUGUUUAGAAGAUGUAAACUCCUAGUGAGUAGUUAUGGUGAAAUGUGAUAAUAGAUGAGAAAUCCUCGAAUGAGGAAAUUGUAAAGGUUAAAUUGAAAACCUAGUUUUGAUCAAGAGAAUGAGCAGAGGUUAGGAUGCUUUAAUUUCGAGGACGAAAUUCUUAGAAGAAGGGGUGAAUGUGACAACCCGAGAAAUUAGAAAAUUAUUAAAAUCUUAAAUGAUUGGUUUAAGGUCAAAUAAUAGACCUAAACAGAGAAUAAGUGUAUGUGUUUGAUGUUUUCAGAAAGGAAUUUUGAGGAUUUAAAAUUUCUUUUAGUGAAUUAUUCAGGAUUAAGGGUAUGUGUGUAUAUAUUCUGUGAUUACGGUAUUAUGUGUACAGAAUGUGGUUAAGGGUCAAGUGUUGACCAGAUAAAUUAUAUCUGUGUCAAACCCUAAUAUUAUUAGAACGUCAACGUUCAGUUAUAAAAUUAUUACGAUUUAUAAGAAACC
rnacentral:lncRNA from 1 species